UUGUUUUGGAGGAGCUAGCUUGAUUGGUUUCUUUGUCCUGAUUUUAGCUAAGCUUCUUGGAUGAAUUUUCCUUAAUUUUCAGGUGUAAUUACUUUCUUAGUUUUAUUUACAUUUGUUGAACUAGAAAUUUUGGGAAUUAUUGUUCAGUCUUUAUGCACAAAUGCAGAAUCUUGUUCCUUCAAUCUCACUACUUGUGUGGAUGUUUAAUGAUUUUUCUCUUUCUUUCUUUUUGUAGCCAUCCUACCUCAAGGGUAAACGGUGUUUCCUCAUUAACUCUAAUGUGACUCAAACUCCUGACUAAUCAAUUGGAAAUGGGGAGGCAUUUCACUAGCUGAGCCAAACUCUCUCGUCUCAACGAGGAACUUUAAGUGGCCAAUUGUUUGAUUUGUAUGUUAUAGGUUAUUUCCUGAAUUUUGUUUUUUUAGCUUGUGUAAAUUCGAUUCAAUUCCAAAUAAUGGAUAUGAGUAGCAAGAAUGAUACUGAGCAACUAAAGGGGAACGAGGAUACUGCGAAUUUUCAGUUACUUUUUCAAGCCAUCUUACCUCAGGGGUAAGCAAUGUUUCCUCAUUAACUCUUAUGUGACUCAAACUCCUGACUUAUCAAUUGGAAGUGGGGAGGCAUUUCACUAGCUGAGCCAAACUCUCUCGUCUCGACGAGGAACUUUUAGAAGUGGCCAAUUGUUUGAUUUGUAUGUUAUAGGUUGUUUCCUGGAUUUU
rnacentral:lncRNA from 1 species